AGAGAGAGACAUGCGCGCAUAUCAAUAAGCGGAGGAAAAGAAACUAACAAGGAUUCCCUUAGUAACGGCGAGUGAAGCGGGAAGAGCUCAAAUUUGAAAUCUUCAAGGUUCUACCAUUGACGAAUUGUAGUUUAAAGAAGUGUUUUCUGCUGAAGUUUUGGUAAAAGUUCUUUGGAAUAGGACAUCAUAGAGGGUGAGAAUCCCGUAUUUGACCAUUAUUUUCAGCUUUGUGAUACACUUUCAAAGAGUCGGAUUGUUUGGGAAUGCAGUCCAAAAUGGGUGGUAAAUUUCAUCUAAAGCUAAAUAUUCGGCGAGAGACCGAUAGCGAACAAGUACCGUGAGGGAAAGAUGAAAAGAACUUUAAAAGAGAGUUAAACAGUACGUGAAAUUGUCAAAAGGGAAGCGUUUGACACCAGUGUUGUUUUCUCGAAAAUCAAUUAAAAAUGGCUCGAUUUUGUAUUGUUGAGACCUUAAAAGCUCACUGUACAUUUUUCGUGUCUUUUUUAAUGCACUUUUCGUUUAACAAGUCAACAUCAGUUUCUUUUGUUGUAAAAGGGUCAUUGGAAGGUGGCUUUCUUUUCGGAGAAAGUGUUUAUAGCCUUUGGCCUCUGCAAUCGGAGAGACUGAGGUCUGCAGCGUAGACUCUUCGGGGUUAGAUACAUUUGUGCUAAGUUAUAGCUUUUUAUAGACAACUUGUUGACUAUAAUUAGUCUUGUAGCUUACUCGCUUAUGCUAUUUUACCUACGCUUAGGAUGUUGAAGUCAUCGUAUCGCGC
rnacentral:rRNA from 1 species